GCCUGCCCUGUGACUAUUUGUUUAACGGCCGCGGUAUUUUGACCGUGCGAAGGUAGCGCAAUCACUUGUCUUUUAAAUGAAGACCCGUAUGAAUGGCAUAACGAGGGCUUAACUGUCUCCUCUUUCCAGUCAAUGAAGUUGAUCUUCCCGUGCAGAAGCGGGAAUAUAUUCAUAAGACGAGAAGACCCUAUGGAGCUUUAGACACAAAGGCAGCCCACGUUAAGCACCCCAGAUAACGGACUAAACCAAGUGAACCCUGCCCUAAUGUCUUUGGUUGGGGCGACCGCGGGGAAUUAAAGAACCCCCACGUGGAAUGGGAACACUUUUCCUACAACUAAGAGCUACAGCUCUAGAAAACAGAAUUUCUGACCAACAAGAUCCGGCAAUGCCGAUCAACGGACCGAGUUACCCUAGGGAUAACAGCGCAAUCCUCUUUUAGAGCCCAUAUCGACAAGGGGGUUUACGACCUCGAUGUUG
rnacentral:rRNA from 1 species